rnacentral:rRNA from 1 species
UACGUAGGGUGCGAGCGUUAAUCGGAAUUACUGGGCGUAAAGUGUGCGCAGGCGGCAGAGCAAGUCGAGUGUGAAAGCCCCGGGCUUAACUUGGGAAUUGCGCUCGAAACUACUUUGCUGGAGUGUGGCAGAGGAAGGUGGAAUUCCACGUGUAGCGGUGAAAUUCGUAGAUAUUCGGAAGAACACCAGUGGCGAAGGCGACUCACUGGACACAUAUUGACGCUGAGGUGCGAAAGCGUGGGGAGCAAACAGG